rnacentral:tRNA from 1 species
UAGCUCAGUUGGUAGAGUGCUUGCCUUGUAUGCACAAGGCCCUGGGUUCAAUUCCCAG